rnacentral:rRNA from 1 species
GGCAGCAGUGGGGAAUCUUGGACAAUGGGGGCAACCCUGAUCCAGCCAUGCCGCGUGAACGAUGAAGGCCUUAGGGUUGUAAAGUUCUUUCAGCAGGGAAGAUAAUGACGGUACCUUCAAAGGAAGCACCGGCUAACUCCGUGCCAGCAGCCGCGGUAAUACGGAGGGUGCAAGCGUUGUUCGGAAUUACUGGGCGUAAAGCGCGUGUAGGCGGCUAGGCAAGUCGAGUGUGAAAUCCCAGGGCUCAACCCUGGAACUGCACCCGAAACUGCUUGGCUAGAGUCCCGGAGAGGGUGGCGGAAUUUCCGGUGUAGAGGUGAAAUUCGUAGAUAUCGGAAGGAACACCAGUGGCGAAGGCGGCCACCUGGACGGUGACUGACGCUGAGACGCGAAAGCGUGGGGAGCAAACAGGAUUAGAUACCCUGGUAGUCCACGCCGUAAACGUUGAGUGCUAGGCGUCGGGGGUAUUGACCCCUCCGGUGCCGGAGUUAACGCAUUAAGCACUCCGCCUGGGGAGUACGGCCGCAAGGCUAAAACUCAAAGGAAUUGACGG